UACGUAGGGGGCGAGCGUUGUCCGGAGUUACUGGGCGUAAAGCGCACGCAGGCGGUCUGUUAAGUUUGGAGUGACAGUUGGUGGCUCAACCACCAAAGUGCUUUGAAAACUGGCAGACUUGAGGGCUUCAGAGGGACACGGAAUUCCGGGUGGAGUGGUGAAAUGCGCAGAUAUCAGGAGGAACACCGGUGGCGAAGGCGGUGGUCUGGGCCGGGAACUGACGCUGAGGAGCGAAAGCGUGGGGAGCGAACAGG
rnacentral:rRNA from 1 species